rnacentral:rRNA from 1 species
UACAGAGGUCUCAAGCGUCGUUCGGAUUCAUUGGGCGUAAAGGGUGCGUAGGUGGCGCGGUAAGUCGGGUGUGAAAUCUCGGAGCUUAACUCCGAAAUUGCAUUCGAUACUGCCGUGCUCGAGGACUGGAGAGGAGACUGGAAUUCAUGGUGUAGCAGUGAAAUGCGUAGAGAUCAUGAGGAAGACCAGUGGCGAAGGCGGGUCUCUGGACAGUUCCUGACACUGAGGCACGAAGGCCAGGGGAGCAAACGGG